UACGUAGGGCGCAAGCGUUGUCCGGAAUUAUUGGGCGUAAAGGGCUCGUAGGCGGUUUGUCGCGUCGGGAGUGAAAACUCAGGGCUUAACCCUGAGCCUGCUCCCGAUACGGGCAGACUAGAGGUAUGCAGGGGAGAACGGAAUUCCUGGUGUAGCGGUGAAAUGCGCAGAUAUCAGGAGGAACACCGGUGGCGAAGGCGGUUCUCUGGGCAUUACCUGACGCUGAGGAGCGAAAGUGUGGGGAGCGAACAGG
rnacentral:rRNA from 1 species